rnacentral:rRNA from 1 species
UACGUAGGGGGCUAGCGUUGUCCGGAAUCAUUGGGCGUAAAGAGCGUGUAGGCGGCCCGGUAAGUCCGCUGUGAAAGUCGGGGGCUCAACCCUGGGAUGCCGGUGGAUACUGUCGGGCUCGAGUCCGGAAGAGGCGAGUGGAAUUCCUGGUGUAGCGGUGAAAUGCGCAGAUAUCAGGAGGAACACCGGUGGCGAAGGCGGGUCUCUGGGCAACAACUGACGCUGAGGAGCGAAAGCGUGGGGAGCGAACAGG